rnacentral:tRNA from 1 species
GGACAGAUUCCCGAGCGGUCAAAGGGAGCAGACUGUAAAUCUGCCGGCAUCGCCUUCGUAGGUUCGAAUCCUACUCUGUCCA